rnacentral:tRNA from 1 species
AGAAGAUUAGUUAUAAAAAUAAUAUUAGGUUGUCAACCUUAAGUUACUGAGUGUUUUCAGUAUCUUCUA